CACAGUGUGCUGAAAGCCGGCAGUGAGUGAGGUCAUACUGCUCGUAUAGAGGUGGAGUACAACGAGAUAAGCAGAAUCAAGCACUACACAGAGAAGAGUGACCUAAACAGUUCUGUGAGCGAACUGACGCUGCCAGUAGUACCUGGAACAUACAAUGAUUGUAACCUUUCUACAGAAGUUGUUUUGCAAGAAGAUUCCAGAUCAUCUUCAAUCGUUACUUGCAGCGGCCCUGGUGGAUGUGGUGUGGCCACAUCUGUUGAAGAGUCUGCCAUGCAUCUCUCAUUGUAUACGGGAAUACUUGCCAUUAUACCCUCGUUUCUUAACCUACUGAAAGCAACGAAUGAAUAAAUGAUUUUAUUCCUUCCACAAACAACAAAGUUAAUAUUGAAAGAAUGAAGAUCUUGGAAUUAACUGGCCACUUUUACAAGUAUUGUGGCCAGUAUAAACAUAGCAAAAUAAAAUACACUGUUUGUGUCAGAGUCCAGUUUCUUAAUGUACUUUCAACAGCCGAGUCGCUCUCUGUGGCAUCUGUGUCUUAACACUAGCAUUUGGCUUAUCAAUACACUGCUAUACCUUACUCACUAGUGAAGCAAUACAUUUAUUGACAGUGCAUUAUUAGCUAGGUUAUAAUGCUGAUCCUUUUACUUGCAAUAUAUGGUCCUCAGGGCAAUCGAAGCAUGUUACUACGCUGUACUACUUGUUGACGGGGCAGUAAAAAUGAAAAUAUUAGAUUUUCAGAUACUAUAAAACAACUUAUAGUUUCCAAUAAAUGAAUAAAAAUUAUAUCGCUUGCUGGUUAUGAGAAUAUAGAAUUAAUUAUAGAAUGAAUUAAAUACUAAUGUAAACAAUAUAUACUUUAGAGUAAAAUUUCUAUACAUGUUUAAUUUUUCACAUAUUAAUUGUAAAUAUAGCCACCGUCUUUUAUUUAAAAUGAUUUAUUAAUUAGUUAGUCUCAGUUGUCUUUCGAACAAUGAAACAAAAUUAAAAAUAUUGUCGUGUAUUAAUCACGUUGUAUUUUAAGCAACGAGUUUGAAAUUUUUUCUCUUAUUGCUAAAUUAUUUUUCACAAACUUGGCAAAAUUUAUUUUUGUAGGUACUAUUUUAGUGUAUUUUUUUAUCCGUUUUAAUUGUGGGGGAGGUGUUAUGAAUGCGCAAUUCUAAUAAUUUCUUAUAAUUCUAAUAAUUUUUAAAAGAAUCAUUCAAAGUACGUAAUUACUACACUAUUAAAUUUAGUAACUUAAAAGUUAAUAUUGAAAUUAAUUAGUAAAUGUUAAAUAUAAUAUUUUUAGAUUUAAGUUGUAUUUUGCUUAGUUUUUAAUUUUUAAAUACAGUUAAGGUACAAAAUAAUAAGCCUGUAAUAAGUUGUUGAAAGAAGCUUAGAUUAGACAGGAAAGGGGUAAAGCUAAAACAUGUUUUGUUUUAAUAGGUGAAGUUGUUGUUUUGAAGCUAUUUCUUAAAUUUAACCUGGAGACCAAUGGCUUAAAAGUAGUGUUAAAUCAACCAUCCUGGACUAUAGAACCUUUGUAUGGUUUUACAAUGCCCUUCAAUGGCUGGUAAAGCGGGUGACAGGUACCAGCAAUAUCGCUCAGUGGUCUUCCAUUAAAGGAGUAGGCACGCUUGACUUUGAUAAGUUUAUUUUGCGAUAGCCGCAGUAUCCCCUAAAUUACACCAGUCAGUGAUAAAUACAAUAUUAUCGUCAGAUAAUAUUUCGUUGGCCAGACAAUCACAUCCUCCAAGAAUAAAUUAAGUUAUAUAAAGUAAAUAUUUAAUAAUUAGUCCUUAGUGCAUUUAUUACAAUGUUUUACUAUAUAUAUUUCGGUGGUAGUCUGUAACUCUGUAUUCUGUAUAGUACUUAGAACUACAUGUAUUUUGUUUAUACAACUGUUUGCUAAACCAGACUCUAAUAAAUGGGUAGAAUAAGACAAAAUAGGAUAAUGAUAGAAGACAGUAGCAUGAGCUACUGAAUGAAUAACGGCUGACUGUUAGUAACUAUGUAUUAGAUACAUCAAAAUGACGUGACAAAAGUAGAUAGACAACAAAAACCUUUCUCCGCUUUAAUUUUCACUUUGGCGUUCUUUCAAUCUCUCCACACCCUUACCGGUUGACCCUACCCGAAGCUUACGCGUCCAUCUUAUACGCUAAGAGCUGGUCUUGUGACGUCACUGCUCCCAGUUUUAAUUUCACAUUGAUGGCGAUAUUUAUUUGGAUUUGUUAAUGUCUGGCAUGCCAUAUGUUACAAUUUUUUGUUUAUUUGGAUGGUGGUAAAUGUAUUAUUUAUUAGAUGUUAUUUAAAAUGAUUAUUUAUUAGGUGG